rnacentral:misc_RNA from 1 species
AAGUCGUAACAAGGUUUCCGUAGGUGAACCUGCGGAAGGAUCAUUAAAUUCAGUAGCUUGCUACUGUUAGGGGGGUCCAUUAGUCUGUAUAGUAUCACUACUGAUGAGCAGCACGACCCUCUGUCUAUACCCUUGUCUUUUGCGCACUCAUGUUUCCUCGGCGGCUUAUACCCGCCGGCUGGAUCAAUCUAUAACCUUUUUAAUUUUCAAUCAGCGUCUGAAAAACCUAAUAAUUACAACUUUCAACAACGGAUCUCUUGGUUCUG